AAUCAGUUGACGAGUCCCAAAUAGGACGAAACGCGCUUUAUGGGU
rnacentral:hammerhead_ribozyme from 1 species